GUAACAUUUCCCAGCGCUGCCACAGGCGCGUCUCGCCCUGUCCAACGCGGAGCCCGAAGAAUUACUAAGAAACCGAGGUCUGAAGGAGGGAAGAGGUGACGGGCUCGAGGCCACACGGUGGGCCAGGCUGGGCCCGGCUGCACGCCGGCUACCGGGGCCCAGCCCUCUGCACGCCUCCCGCAGCCUCAGUUUCCCUGUCCGUGGUACUGAGGAUGCUCGGGCCUAGAAGUUCAGGGCUGGAGGCCCAGGGACCGUCGAGGGAGGGGCAUCAUCCCCGCCAUGGGGCCGCCGCAACUGCCCAGAGCACAGGCCAAAGGUGCGUGCCACGGGGCUACUGGCGUUGUGGACGCUGCCCCUGCCUCCCCAUCCCCCGCAGGAAACAGCCUUGUGACCGUGACUAACGCACCUUUGCCGGGGUAGAGGGGCAAGGGCCCCUGCUACCGUUUGCCACACACUGCCCCAUGUCCCUCACUGCUCCCGUCCUUCCUAGAAGUGAGGUGCUGAUACAUAUAAAAAUUAUGGAUCCCAUUUUAUGGGACAUGAGCUGAAACAGGAGGUUUCCUGGGCUGCCAGGGGCUUAGGAAAUCCAGUGCCUGAUACACAGGAAAUGCUUCUAUGUGGGGAGUUCACAGUCUUCCAGAAGCAAAAAUGUUUUUUGGUUUUUUUUUUGAGACGGAGUCUUGCUCAGUCGCCCAGGCUGGAGUGCAGUGGCACGAUCUCGGCUCACUGCAACCUCCGCCUCCCGGGUUCACGCCAUUCUGCUGCCUCAGCCUCCCGAGUAGCUAGGACUACAGACGCCCGCCACGACGCCUGGCUAAUUUUUUUUUUUUUUUUUUUUUUUUUUUUGUAUUUUUAGUAGAGACGGGGUUUCAUCGUGUUAGCCAGGAUGGUCUCGAUCUCCUGACCUCGUGAUCCGCCCGCCUCGGCCUCCCAAAGUGCUGGGAUUACAGGAGUGAGCCACCGCGCCCGGCCGCAAAAAUCUUUUAGAGUGUGUACUUGGCUGAACUUGCUCCACGCAAAAUGGUCUUAUUUAAGGAUAAAAAUGAAAGGGGACUUUUGUAAGGCUGCUGUGGCGACAGGCCUGGAAGUUGACCUGCAGGGAGGUAGGAGAGACCAAGGCCCCUGGGACGGAGGCCGGCCACUGGAUGUUUGAAAGGCUGAGAAGCCAAGGGCUUCAAUCUGGGGAGGCCGUUUGGAUAAAGGAGCCAAGGACUUUCUCUAAAAAUACCGGCUCACAGGGAGGUGGGGCCAUGCCAAUGGCCUGCCCAGGUGACAAGCCCUUUGUCCCACUGUCCCCUGGCACCAGUCUGGUAAUCUCAAAGGAAUGCCAGAAAUCUGGCCAGGAGGAAGGGACACUAAAGUAAGGAGUGGCCCUCUAUAAUUUGAAAUAACUCUUUCUGGCAUCUGCUGGCUUUUGUUAGGAAAAGCCUCAGACAUUUUUAUGGGAUCACAGUUCCCUGUGGGAGGAAGAGGUUGCCUCAAGGCCAGGCAUGGUGGCUUAUGGCUGUAAUCCCAGCACUUUGGGAGGCCAAGGCAGGAGGAUCACUUGAGCCAGGAGUUUGAGACCAGCCUGGCCAACAUAACAAGACUCUGUCUCGCCGGGCGAGGUGGCUCAUGCCUGUAACCCCAGCACUUUGGGAGGCCGAGGUGGGCGGAUCACAAGGUCAGGAGUUCGAGACCAUUCCGGCUAACACGGUGAAACCCCAUCUCUACUAAAAAUACAAAAAAAAUUAGCCGGGCGUAGGUGGUGCAUGCCUGUAGUCCCAGCUACUCGGGAGGCUGAGGCAGGAGAAUGGCAUAAAACCCAGGAAGCGGAGGUUGCAGUGAGCCGAGAUCGCGCCACUGCACUACAGACUGGGAGACAGAGCGAGACUCCGUCUCAAAAAAAAAAAAAGACUGUCUCAAAAAUUAAAAAUGAAAAAAAAAAUUAACAGAGCAUUGUGUCUUACACUUGUCCGACUACUUGGGAGGCUCAGCCAGGAGCAUCACUUGAGCCUGGGAGGUCAAGGCACCCACUGCACUCCAGCCUGAGUGACAGAGUGAGACCGUAUUUGCUGAAUGAAUGAAUCAGUGAGCUCCUGGCUCAGCAAUUAUUAACUUAUGACUUUGGGCUGAGCCUCGGUUUCCUCAACUAUAAAAUGGGGAUUAUAAUACCCCGAGCAUCCAGGAUUGAGAGAAUGUAUGCAAAAUGCAUAGCAUGCAAGAAGUAACCGUUUGGUUGCGUGCAGUGCAUUGCAUGGCGUUGCCUCUGCCAGUGGUUGGUUUUCGGAGAUGAAUAAUGCAUGCACUUGUAGCAUUUCACAGCUUGGGAAGACAGUGUCGUAUAAGAAAAGAAUUUGGGCCGGGUGUAGUAGCUUAUGCCUGUAAUCCCAGCACUGUGGGAGGCCAAGGUGGGAGGUUUGCUUGAGGCCAGGAGUUCAAGAUGAGCCUGGGCAACAAGUGAGACCCUGUCUCUACAAAAAAUAAAAUAAUUGGCCAGGCACAGUGACAUGUGCCUGUAAUCUCAGUUACUUAGAAGCCGGAGGUGGGAGGAUCCCUUGAACCCAGGAGUUCAAGGCUGCAGUGAGCCAUGAUCACGCCACUGCUCUCCAGCCUGGGCAACAGAGGCUAGGAAAAUAAAAAUACAUUUUAAACAAAAAUAAUUCAAACACUCUGAUAACCAAAAUGUCAAUGUCUGUGCACAAGUAGACGAGUUUGAGAGAAACUUGCUAUGGCAGGUAAUUGGAGGUUGUUCCAAUUACCAAACCUUUUCCUCUAGGAUAAGAUAAAAAAAUUAUCCAAAAGCUCUGUGAUUGAUGCUGAAUUCUGAGAGCAGACUCAGAGGGUGGGUGAUGGGCCUUAGGAGGGAUAGAGGAAAGAUUGGGAAGUUCCCGUCCACUCUGAAUUUCCUGCUGAUGGGUUCCUCGGGGUCCACCCACGGGCCUCAGCCCUGCCACCAACUCCAAGGCCUGUUCUGAGAAAGGGCUUUGUGAGUCUGACUCCCCCCAAGAUGGGGGAACCCACUGUCAAGCACCUGGUAGGAGCAGGCUUUGAGCCCUUUCAAAGAUGCUGCAUACAGCAAGUUCCCUAAGCAGCAGUGAGGUGAGUGUCAUUAGCACUUCAUCUCCCAGGUGGCAAGGGAGCUUCCCAGGGGAUAAAACCAUUCGUUAAAGGCCAGCAGGACCUGGGACUCCACCCAGGACCCCAUCCAGGGGAGCCUUGUCCUUCUGUCCUUCUGCACCAUAAGCACCUUUGGCCCAGGAAGCACUAGACAUUUGGCACAGUGGGGGUUCCCUCACGGGCUGGAGAAGCAGAGCCCUGGCAAGGCUGUGCUCACACCUCCUCCCAGGUCACACCCAGGACCAAGCACCCCUGCUCCAGUUCUGAGCCUUAAAAUAUUGAUGAGAGCACAGAGGCCACCUGGCUGCAAUCCUCCAUGUUGAAGAUUGGGUUGCAGUGCCAGCUAGCAGAGUGACAUGGAGCUGGGCUUUCCCUGAGUGCUGAGCGUGGCCCCAGCCCAGCUCUGUCAGCGAAAGGCUGUGUAGGUCCAGCAGCUUUCUGGAGGUCUCUGAGCACAAGUGUGGUCUGACUUGGACUGACCCUUCUACCAUACAUUUGGCUCAGCACCCGCAGCCAGAGUCUAGGGCCCACAGGGCUCAGAGGAAGCAGGUGACUAGAAUAUCCAUCUGUCUGGUGGGUGGGGCAGGCAUUCCUCCUGUCCUCAUUUGCAGGGAUUUUGAGUAUAAUAUUAUGGGUAAAAAUUCUGGCCAGGUGCAGUGGCUCACGCCUGUAAUCCCAACACUUUGAGAGGCCAAGGUGGAUCACCUGGGUCAGGAGUUCGAGACCAGCCUGGCCAACACGGUGAAACCCCGUCUCUACUAAAAAUACAAAAAUUAGCCAGGCAUGGUGGCACAUGUCUAUAGUUCCAGCUACUCGGGAGGCUGAGGAAGGAGAAUCACUUGAACCUAGGAGGUGGAGGUUGCAGUGAGCCGAGAUCAUGCCACUGCACUCCAGUCUGGGCAAUAAAAGCAAGACUCCAUAACGCGCGCGCGCACACACACACACACACACACACACACACACACACACACAAUCUUUAGAGGUCAUGCUGCCACCCACUGUGUGACCUUGGACAGAACAUCUACCUUUCUAAGCCACUUUCCUCAUCCCCAAAUGGAGUCCUACUCUACAGGGCUGUUGGGGAGAUUCACCGAAACCAGCAAGGAAAGAGCUGGGUGUAGAGCCAAAGCCCCACAAAGGGUAUCUAUGCUUUUCAGCUUAUUGUUAGCUGGAUUCCCAGAGCCUGGCAGAGAGCAGCAAAUACCCAUUCAUCCUAAGUGCCAGUGGAAGCGCAAAGCCUGCAGGAGCUCUGGCAGGUCUAACAGGGCCUGGAGAGUUUUCCAUUCUUUGAAGCUCCUGGCACAUUCAAAAAUUAAGAAAAAUCUAGGCGGGACACGGUGGCUCACGCCUGUAAUCCCAGCACUUUGGGAGGCUGAGGUGGGCAGAUCACCUGAGGUCAGGAGCAAGACUCCAUCUCUAAAAAAAAAAAAAGAAACAUCUCGACAGGGUUACCAAAACUGGGGCAUGUUUGAAAUACUUAAAUUGAACAAAUCAGUGCUUUUAACACACAUGCAAAAGUCCCAUUCAAGAUAAUUUUGCAAUUCUCAAGGUAAUAGAGGGAUUACUUUAAAAUAAUAAUGGAGCCAACCAAGCAUAGUGACACCUGCCUGUGGUCCAAGCUACUGGGGAAGCUGAGGCAGGAGGAUCACUUGAGCCCAGGGGAUUGAGGCUGUAGAGACAUGAUUGAGCCACUGACUCCAGCCUGGGUGACAGAGUGAGAUACUGUCAAUAAUAAUAAUAAUAAUGGUUUGUAGAGCACCUUAAGUGGUAUGGUGUGACAAACAUCUUUCAGGCCUGACAACAGAUCUCUGUACUAAUCUGAUUAUCCUUAUUCAGAUGUAUCUAAAUCUGAGGCCCUUGGGGCACAUGAUUGCCUCCUGGGGCUGCCAUAGUAGACCCUGGCAAUGACCUAGUGACCGUUCCUCUACUGGAGAUGAUCCCCUGGGCCCCUCAGAAUGCAUUUCCUGUGUCCACAUAGCCGGUGUUUUAAGUCAGGUGAUCUUUUUUUUUUUUUUUUUUUUUUUGAGACGAGGCCUCUCUCGUUGCCCAGGCUGGAAUGCAGUGGUGCAAUCUCGGCUCACUGAAACUUCUUCCUCAUGGGUUCAAGUGACUGGCCUGCCUCAGUCUCCCAAGUAGCUGGGAUUACAGGUGUGCACCACAACGCCCGGCUAAUUUUGGUAUUUUUAGUAGAGAUGGGGUUUUGCCAUGUUGGCCAGGCUAGUCUCGAUAUCUGCCCACCUCAGCUUCCCAAAGUGCUGGAAUUACAGGCAUGAGCCACCGUCGCCAGUCUUAAGUCAGGCAAUCUAAGCUCCCUUUCCAAGUUUGUUGAAAACCUGAUUUGAGGUUUUGUGCUUUAAGCUUGCAUUACAUUUGUAACACAAUAAAUGCAAUUUUUGGCACAAUAAAUGCAAAAUUGUGGCGCAGUGACUCAUACGUGUAAUCCUAGCACUUUGGGAGGCCGAGGCAGGUGGAUCACCUGAGGUCAGGAGUUCAAGACAAGCCUGGCCAACAGGGCGAAACCCUGUCUCUACUAAAAAUACAAAAAUUAGCUGGGCAUCGUGGCAGGUGUCUAUAAUCCCAGCUAUUUAACAGGCUGAGGCAGGAGAAUCACUUGAACCUGGAGGGCAGAGGUUGCAGUGAGCCAAGAUUGCGCCACUUUACUCCAGCCUGGGCAAAAGAGCCAAACUCUGUCUCCAAAAAACAAACAAACAAAAUAGAAAAUAAAUACAAUUUUUAAAAAGACCCCAGUCAUCAUGCAGGUUACACUGUGGGGAUAACACUUCUGGGCUAGGAGUUGGGCAACCUGGGUUCAGGCACCGCACCCCCUCUGCCGGCUGCACAGGGCCCCUCUCCCCUCAGUCAGCCCUGGGCCCUGCAGGCUGGACUUUUGCCUGGUAGCUUUGGGCUGGCCCUCCCUUCUGCAGGGGACCCCUUGUACAGAUGGGUAAGCAGAGGCACAGGGGCACAGGCAGGACAGCGGCUCUGCUCACGCAGGAUGCCAUGGCCAGUCGUGGGCCUACUCCAUCCUUGAUCCUCCCCUCCCAAGGGCACUUGCCAUCCAGGCCUGAAUGGCAAGAGGCCCCUAAGGGGCCCCCAGUCCUGUCGGCACCCCCUUUGAGUGACUGACAGGGAGGCAGGGGAGCUGGCAGCCCCCAUCCCCACACCAGCUUGUGGAAGCUACCAGCGAUCGGUGGGGCCCCACUGGCAGCCCGUCCGUGUAGCCUUGGCCGGGCCCCCAAGCUUCUUAGAAUGCCAUCUAAGAAGGCAGAGGGGGAUGAGCGGCGGCGGGG
rnacentral:lncRNA from 1 species